GUUGCUCGGGCUGCCAACCUGCCCGCCCGUGAGCGAGAGCCCGCCACAGCACUCGCCUCGGGGCCAACCGGGCUCCACUUCCCUCCCGACGCCCCCUUUCCAUAGGGUGGAAUGGAAGCUCCCUUCUCCACGCACGCCUGCCUCGGAAGCAUGCCCGACGAACAUCUGUGCCGAGCCUAAGUUGUUGGUGUUCCUGCUGAGAGGGAAGUUUCAGGCGUGCUUUGCAAUCUGCAGGACUUAAGCGAGGAGGGAGUUGUGCACAGUUACCUGCAGGGAGUUGAGCAGUUACUUGGUGCCAUGACAGGCAGUGAGGACCCAUCGCCAUGGCAGACCUCAUUGCUCACAGCCUCCAUCACUGAAGCAUCCUAUGGAGAAAGUUCAAUCCCCAGCUGUCCUCUGGCAGGAGGAGGGCUGCUGUUCUUCCUGGGCCCGAGGAGCAGGCUGCCAUUUAGGGACUAUGGGAGGACCUCUUUAUUCAUAUUGCAGUGGUGCUUGCUGGCACGUAAGACAAGAAAUACCCAUAAUAAAUGAAUACCAUGAAGUCAGCUUAGUUAGCACGACUGGCAGGAUCCUCCCCACUUUCAAGAGUAUGUCACAAGCCUUGCAUCACCCACAGGUAACUCCUUCUAAUUGUCAGGCUGCGCUGUAUGCUGGAAGACUUUGAUAUGAAAGCACCCCUGGAAAUAAUACCUUCUUCUUCCUUUGCCUGGAUGCACCAGAUGAGUGCUGCACUCUGAGCCACUUUCCAGUACAGAUGAGAGUGUCUCAUGAGAAGCCAGAGGUCCUCCGCUCUGGUUUUUUUUGUGAAAAUAGUGACUUCUGGUGGGGUGCAAAGGGAGAGGCCUUCCUUUGAUUUAAGGCAUAAAGCAUAAAUUCAGUUUUUGUAGUGAUAUCUUUGCAUGCUCUUAGCAUCACGAGCCCAGCUUUAAAGUCAUUUGAGAAAGAUUAAUCAUAAGCAAGAUUUCAGAAACUUUGAAAAAAUCCUAUGGAACAGCUCAUACAGGUUGUAAUAUUGUACUAGGAAUGGAAGCGUUACCAUUCCAAAGCCUUUUCUGUCCAGUACUAGAUCUGAAAUUUGCCACUGAAGCUCAGAUAAUGAAUAUCCACUUUGAAAUGAGUGAAAAACAAUCCUUGUGCUAGUUUCCUGAUACUUCAGGUUCUGCUGUGGUUACUGUUUGAAUUGAAAAAACACCAGGAUAGGUGUUCAUUUUUAGCACUGGUCAGAUUGCAGUGGUAGUAAAGUCAGUGAUUUUGAAAAUUUGAGAGGUCAGGCUGAAUUAGCCCUGACAAAGAGAAUAUUCCUUUCAGCCAAGGGCUGACAGCCUGUGAUUGUUUCCAGCUUCCACUUCUGAGCUGAGCCAGCACCUGACUCACUCCUUCGAGAGCCAUCUCACCUUGCCACCACAUCAUCACUGCUUGAUGCCUUCUUAGAAGUGUGGAGUUGACUCCUAGGAACGGGUACCUGGCCUUGUUAACAUUGGAAUGGUUAUUUCUCCACAGUAUUUUUUUAAUUUUUUUUUUCUGUAUAGGUGGGGUCUCUCCAAUCCAUAGGUAGAUAAAAGGAGAGCAGAGAGGGAGGUGUUGUCUAAAUGUACUCUCACUGUGGUCAUACGUAGUUCAUAAAGCUUCUCUAUAAUGUCCUAAUUGCACUUUCGUUGUUGCACACUUGGUUUGCCAAUAUUCUUUGACACAGUUUUAAAGAUUGGCUUCCUUUUACCUGGGCCUCAGAUCACCAUGAUGGGGAGAAGGCACUCGUUUAUAAGAGAUGGAAGAAGAAUCUGUCCUGGAGUCUUUGUUGUUGUUGUUUUAAAUAAAAGGUAACGCCUGACACUGCAGAAGUACCUGACCAGCUGGCUGUAUUUGCUUCCAACUAUGGUACAUUUGAGAUAAAAAUCUCAAGUAUUUUUAAUUUCACUUAUGUUCUUUCUCAAA